rnacentral:rRNA from 1 species
UACGUAGGGUGCAGGCGUUAAUCGGAAUUACUGGGCGUAAAGCGUGCGCAGGCGGUUUCUUAAGUCAGAUGUGAAAGCCCCGGGCUUAACCUGGGAACUGCGUUUGAAACUGGGAGACUUGAGUGUGGCAGAGGGGGGUGGAAUUCCACGUGUAGCGGUGAAAUGCGUAGAUAUUGGGAAGAACACCGGUGGCGAAGGCGGCUAUCUGGACCGACAUUGACGCUGAGGCGCGAAAGCGUGGGGAGCAAACAGG